rnacentral:rRNA from 1 species
CCUACGGGGGGCAGCAGUGGGGAAUAUUGGACAAUGGGGGGAACCCUGAUCCAGCCAUGCCGCGUGUGUGAAGAAGGCCCUCGGGUUGUAAAGCUCUUUCAGUGAGGAAGAACGCCUGGUGGUUAAUACCCAUCAGGAAAGACAUCACUCACAGAAGAAGCACCGGCUAACUCCGUGCCAGCAGCCGCGGUAAUACGGAGGGUGCGAGCGUUAAUCGGAAUUACUGGGCGUAAAGCGCGCGUAGGUGGCUUGAUAAGCCGGUUGUGAAAGCCCCGGGCUCAACCUGGGAACGGCAUCCGGAACUGUCAAGCUAGAGUGCAGGAGAGGAAGGUAGAAUUCCCGGUGUAGCGGUGAAAUGCGUAGAGAUCGGGAGGAAUACCAGUGGCGAAGGCGGCCUUCUGGACUGACACUGACACUGAGGUGCGAAAGCGUGGGUAGCAAACAGGAUUAGAUACCCUAGUAGUC